CCUCACUGAAAGUCACGUGCAUCUGUACCAGGACCUGCUUGUUCGGCGUCCGGAGAGCAUUUGGAACAUGUAUGUACAUAUGUUCCCCUGUGCAGUGGGCGCUACGACGGUCUACACGUGAACAAUCUGUUCAACCAUUGUCUGGAAGCUUUGCAUCAACGCCACAAGCUGCAUCACGGCGGCUGAUAUAACAGUUUCCCAAGUCUUAAAUAAGCAUUUCGCAUUCGACAAGAGACUUAAGCUGUGCUAAAAAAAAUAGGACUUCUUCGCUGUUAGAAUUCGUCGUCAAUCAGGAGGAAGAAUUGUGCUGGUAACUUACAUGCCGGGUCCAGAUCCACGUCCACACAAACAGUGGCCGUCGUAGCAGUGGUGUACGUCACGGUUGUCUCUACAAUGACAGCUGUCGCAGUCGGAACGGGCGGCGCAUGUGGCUAUAAAACGUGGAAAUUCUGACUUUCAUAUCAUGAUAAAAUUUUGUCAGGAAGUAAUAACAUUUAUACUUUUAACACAAAAAUGAAAUACAAAGGAUACUUUCAAAUUAAA